AUUAUGUUUCACCAACUAGGGAAAACUGAGAAUGACAGGACAUGAAAUGACCUGCAGAGUUAUAUGCAGUAUACCAACAGACCAGGAUAACAGAAGGGUCUCAUGGGUUAUAAGAUGUGCCAGAAGGAGUCUAUCAUCUAUGGCCUCAACGGCCAAAGGUGUGGCUCUCUCCCUCAGGGGGAGAAGAAGGUCAUUAACAAAUUUCGUAUCUAUACAAUUCUCAGCAGCUCCUGCAUCGAUAAAAGCUUUACAUGGUAUAUUAUGAGCGCCCCAAGAUAGAACUAUAGAUAGGAGGAAUU